rnacentral:rRNA from 1 species
CAUGCAAGUCGAACGGAAACCUUUUAUUGAAGCUUCGGCAGAUUUAGAUUGUUUCUAGUGGCGGACGGGUGAGUAACGCGUGGGUAACCUGCCUUAUACAGGGGGAUAACAGUCAGAAAUGACUGCUAAUACCGCAUAAGCGCACAGGACCGCAUGGUCCGGUGUGAAAAACUCCGGUGGUAUAAGAUGGACCCGCGUUGGAUUAGCUAGUUGGUGAGGUAACGGCCCACCAAGGCAACGAUCCAUAGCCGGCCUGAGAGGGUGAACGGCCACAUUGGGACUGAGACACGGCCCAGACUCCUACGGGAGGCAGCAGUGGGGAAUAUUGCACAAUGGGGGAAACCCUGAUGCAGCGACGCCGCGUGAAGGAAGAAGUAUCUCGGUAUGUAAACUUCUAUCAGCAGGGAAGAAAAUGACGGUACCUGACUAAGAAGCCCCGGCUAACUACGUGCCAGCAGCCGCGGUAAUACGUAGGGGGCAAGCGUUAUCCGGAUUUACUGGGUGUAAAGGGAGCGUAGACGGAUGGACAAGUCUGAUGUGAAAGGCUGGGGCUCAACCCCGGGACUGCAUUGGAAACUGCCCGUCUUGAGUGCCGGAGAGGUAAGCGGAAUUCCUAGUGUAGCGGUGAAAUGCGUAGAUAUUAGGAGGAACACCAGUGGCGAAGGCGGCUUACUGGACGGUAACUGACGUUGAGGCUCGAAAGCGUGGGGAGCAAACAGG